rnacentral:rRNA from 1 species
GUAAUUAUUACAAUACUUUCCGCCAGAGAACUACAAGUGAAAAACUUGAAACUCAAAGGACUUGACGGUGUCCCAUAUCGACCUAGAGGAGCCUGUCCUAUAAUCGAUACCCCCCGUUCCACCCAACCCCAACUAGCAAAAUAUCAGCCUAUAUACCGCCGUCGACAGUCUACCCCAUGAGGGUUCAACAGUAGACACAAUAGCCUUAACGCUAAUACGUCAGGUCAAGGUGUAGCAAAUGUUGAGGAAAAGAUUGGCUACAUUUUUUAUGAUAAAAAACACGAAUUGCACUAUGAAACACUGCAUGAAGGUGAAUUUAGUAGUAAAACAGACAAGAGUGUCUGUUU